AAUCCAGAGGUAACAAAAGCACAUGAUAGGACAUGUCAAGCUGCACAGCUAUGCAGGAUCUGUGUUAGCAGAUUCAAAUAGAUCCAGGGGACCCUAACAAGCCAUCUAGACAACUGCAUGGUAAGCAGCUGCCCUGCAGAGCUGAGUGUUUCCAGGUUUCCAUCUUUAUCCUCACAACUGUCAGGAUGCCAAAGGAGAUGCUCCAUGAGCUAAGCAGUAUCAGAAGGCCAGGAAAUUUAGCCUCAAAGAUGUGCUAGAGGUGGUGGAGGAAGAGUGACUAUAAAAAACAAGUUAAUGCUUACAGGGCUCAUUUUCUGCCUCCACAUGGUUACCUCAAGAGCUAAACAGUUGUGAGAGUUGCUCUCUGACUGUGUGUCAGGAGAUGACUAUUAAAUGAAAAAUGAAAUCGGCUGAGCAGACCGGAGACAGAUGCAACUGCAAUGUUGUGGUCUCCAACAGUGGCCAAAGAUUAACCAGGAAACUACAUCUGGAUCAGCCACAUAGUGUCUGAGUGCAUUAGCCAUUAGACUGUGAGGUGGAGGAGGGUUCAUGUUCUGACGGUGUCUCCCUUUCUUGGAGGAAGGCCAUGAAGUCUCUAUCAGGUUGAACACAGCAUGCAAGCCAGAUGCUUGCCUACUUGGCAUGCCUCAAUUCAGGGUGAUUGCAAAUCUAGAGAAUGGUGAAGCAAAGACAUAUGUUCCCAAAGUCUUUUAAGAACCAAUAAAGAAGAGGAUGUGAGUUGAGACUUUGUCUUU
rnacentral:lncRNA from 1 species